AGUCUAGGGCGAGAGGGAGAAGCAGCCUCAGCACAGCUUAGGGUCCAGGUGAGGAGUCAAGGUCAGUGGGGAGAGACGGAACCGAGUGAGAGGUCAAGGUCAGUGGAGGAGAGACAGGAACCGAGGGAGAGGUCAAGGUCAGUGGGGAGAGACGGAACCGAGGGAGAGGUCAGGGUCAGUGAGGAGAGACAGGAACCGAGGGAGAGGUCAAGGUCAGUGGAGGAGAGACAGGAACCGAGUGAGAGGUCAAGGUCAGUGAGGAGAGACGGAACCGAGGGAGAGGUCAGGCUCAGUGGGGAGAGAUGGAACCGAGUGAGAGGUCAAGGUCAGUGGGGAGAGAC
rnacentral:lncRNA from 1 species